rnacentral:rRNA from 1 species
AGGGCACCACCAGGAGUGGAGCCUGCGGCUUAAUUUGACUCAACACGGGAAAACUCACCCGGCCCGGACACUGGAAGGAUUGACAGAUUGAGAGCUCUUUCUUGAUUCAGUGGGUGGUGGUGCAUGGCCGUUCUUAGUUGGUUGAGCGAUUUGUCUGGUUAAUUCCGAUAACGAACGAGACUCUAGCCUACUAAAUAGAUCGUCGGCUUACAAACGCCGAUGAGACUUCUUAGAGGGACAGGCGGCGAUUCAGCCGCACGAAACAGAACAAUAACAGGUCUGUGAUGCCCUUAGAUGUCCGGGGCCGCACGCGCGCUACACUGAAGUGAUCAGCGUGCAUUUUCAGCCUACUCUGCCAAGAGUGGGAAACCCAAUGAACCUUCUUCGUGAUUGGGAUAGGGGAUUGUAAUUAUUCCCCUUGAACGAGGAAUUCCCAGUAAGCGCGAGUCAUAAGCUCGCGUUGAUUACGUCCCUGCCCUUUGUACACACCGCCCGUCGCUACUACCGAUUGAAUGUUUU